rnacentral:lncRNA from 1 species
CACGUUCUAAUUUUCCUUUAAUUAACAUCCCUAGAAAAAUAAGGAUAAUUCUCAAGAUCAAUAUUUCCUUCAUCCAUGCACUAAUGUUUAUGUGCACUAACCAAUGCCAAUUUCUAUGGGUAGAAAGCUUUCAAAAAGAGCGUUUCGUAGACUCCUUCCAUUCGUUAACUAUAGAUCGAUUUCAGAAAUGACGCCUUUUAAAUGCAUUUCCCUAUUUGCACUUUCUUAAGUCCAAAGUUCCUAAAUGAUAGAAAUGCUGAUUUUUUGGUUAUGAGCUGCCUUUUAGCAAACUGAAAAAUGGGAAAAGUUCGAUUAAAAUAGUUUUGACUUUUCAAAACAAAAUUUUUAUUUUCUCACCUCCAUUAAAGUGUAGUGGUUGGACAUUUUUAGGGAACUAUGUCAUUUGACUCAUUUAUAUUCAUAAUAUGAUGGCAAUCAUGAUUUGACUAUUAAAAUAGGUUCCGUAAAUGAUGUGAUUAGAUUAUUAGC